GAUGAACGCUGGCGGCGUGCCUAAUACAUGCAAGUCGAGCGAACGGACGAGAAGCUUGCUUCUCUGAUGUUAGCGGCGGACGGGUGAGUAACACGUGGAUCACCUACCUAUAAGACUGGGAUAACUUCGGGAAACCGGCGCUAAUACCGGAUAAUAUUUUGAACCGCAUGGUUCAAAAGUGAGAGACGGUCUUGCUGUCUCUUCUAGAUGGAUCCGCGCUGCAUUAGCUAGUUGGUAAGGUAACGGCUUACCAAGGCAACGAUGCAUAGCCGACCUGAGAGGGUGAUCGGCCACACUGGAGCUGAGACACGGUCCAGACUCCUACGAGAGGCAGCAGUAGGGAAUCUUCCGCAAUGGGCGAAAGCCUGACGGAGCAACGCCGCGUGAGUGAUGAAGGUCUUCGGAUCGUAAAACUCUGUUAUUAGGGAAGAACAUAUGUGUAAGUAACUGUGCACAUCUUGACGGUACCUAAUCAGAAAGCCACGGCUAACUACGUG
rnacentral:rRNA from 1 species